UCAAUAAUAGUGUCUUUUCGG
rnacentral:piRNA from 1 species